rnacentral:rRNA from 1 species
UACGAAGGGUGCAAGCGUUACUCGGAAUCACUGGGCGUAAAGGGUGCGUAGGCGGGUUUUUAAGUCAGGGGUGAAAUCCUGGAGCUCAACUCCAGAACUGCCUUUGAUACUGAAGAUCUUGAGUCCGGGAGAGGUGAGUGGAACUGCGAGUGUAGAGGUGAAAUUCGUAGAUAUUCGCAAGAACACCAGUGGCGAAGGCGGCUCACUGGCCCGGUACUGACGCUGAGGCACGAAAGCGUGGGGAGCAAACAGG